CACCAAACAACUAUUUUUUUUAUAGCAAUGUUUUUUUCACUAAAAAGUCUGGAAAUGCUACAAAUGAUGUUGCUAAUAGAUGAGAGGAUUUUAGUAAUUCCAAGAUUGAAUCUAUUUUUUGUGUUCCAAAAGACUGGUGACAUAAAGUUUAGCAAAAGUUAGUACAUAUAAUCUUCAACUCAUAGCUAACCCAAAGAGAGUAAUGGUCUAAAUUGCAUGUGAAGCUCCAGCUUGGAUCAAAAAAUCAAGAGCCAAUUAAGCAUAAAAUCAACAAGUAAAUGUUAAUGCAAUGUUUACUCUAGAAACACAAUUUUUUAUCUGUAAGAUCUCAUUAACAACUACCAAUUCUUGAUUUCGUUUUUCAAAUUUACAAUGAGAUUUAAAUAACUACCAACAAAACUUGAACAAAACAAAUAAAUACAAACCAAAAAAAACAAACAACCGUAACAUCUUUAUCAAACAAAAGCAUAACUUUAUCUCAUGAUUCAUGCCUGUUUUUUCAAAAAAAAACAUCAAGGGCAAAAUCGUCCAACUUCACAUAUCUCAUCAAAUUUGCCCUCACUCAAAACAACCGAUCAACAUUUUUUUGAACAACUGAUCUACAUAACAACUUAUUUUCAACAUGGGACCAUUUGGACCUAUACAAAUUUACAUCUAAAAUUAAGACAAAACUCAGUAAACAACAAAAGUUUAAAAAGGAUGAAAACCCAAUAACAUAAAGAUUGAAACAAACAUUAAAAGUUUAAAUCAUUUUAGCCACUAAUAUUUAGACUUCUAAUUUGACAAAUAAAAACUGGCUCCGCAACAUUUAGAACGUUAAAGAACUAAAUCCAGUAAAGAAUAACUUACAACACCAUUUGCAAACGUUCAUUCACCAAAACUCUUUUUCUACUUGAGUGGCUGGAUUAAAUUUCGUUUUAGCACCCAUGACUGUUAUAUUGUCAAGAACAGUAUAAUAAUCAGAUUGUGCAUAUUGAAAGACAAAGAAAACAAUAAAAUCAAUCAUGACAGAGAUACAUGUUAAAUGGAUAACUGUAGUAUUUAGAUAAAACUGUGGAGCAAAAAAUAACGCAUGAAAAUUAGAAAAUUAGUUUAUAUAGCACUAAUAUUUGGGAGGCUUCCCGAUAUACAGUUUCAAUUAAAAACAGAACGGAUGGAAAUAAAAAUCCAAAAAAGAUCAAUAAAGUAUGAACAUGUCGUCAAUCUUGGUUCGUCUAACCUGAAAUCAAUCUUGGUUCUUCAACCGAAACAUCAAAAAAUACAAGGAACCAGAAAAUAAAAUUAUAGAGAUCAACAAAUGAAUAAAAUAAAAGCAUCAUACAUAUGUUAUACGUACUAUGCUUACUUAGUCAAUUAGCAAUUGAGGUAGCGAUGACCGAAGAGGGAUGAGAGAGAGAGAGAGAAGGAUUAACAUGCAAAAGGAUAGAUACAGAUAUGGAUGUGUUCAGAUGAUGUGCUAUGGGAGUAGGUGUAACAGAAAACAGACAUCACGAUUGUGCCAACCAAACCUUAAAGUUCGUGCAUGGAGCAACAAAGUCUUUGCAUUCUUCAGUACAAUAGCAAGAAAGAGGCUAAGAUGGCUUGGUUAGAGAGAGAAGUAAGAUAAAGCUCUUGGUCUCAAUGGUAGGUGAUCUUAGCGGCGACAAACGGUGGUGUGAGGUUGUUACUGACAGCCGAAUAGGUGUCGCCAACGGUGAGUUUAGGGCUUUAGAAUUGGAACAGUUUGGUUUGAAGCGGGAUUAGGGUUUCUUUUUGCUUUAAAGGAUGCCGAAGGGAAAUGGAACGUCGGGGAUCCAAGAACCAAGGGCCAUACAGUUUUUUAUAGAGUUUUGAUGUUGUAAGGUGAAGCGUCUAUUUCAUCCUAUGUCCGAUUAGAGUCACUUCCAGCUGUACUCAUACGGACUUGUACCAAAUAGUCUUAAAUUAAGACUCCUCUGCAUUCACAAACAACGAUGAUCCAGAGAGCUUUCCCUACUUUUACUGAAAAAGGGGCCAGGCUUCCGGUGAGUAGCAGCAGCAUCGGUGAGGGCAACAUGUGGCCGAUCAGAAUAAAUGGUUUCAGAGAAACGUUUACAGAAAAAACAACAUAGGAAUCACAUUUGAAAGAGAGAUAGAGAGAUUUAAACAUCUUAACCUUCGUCAUUGGCCAUGAUAGAGGGAUUAGCAAUAUGGGUCGCCUCGACAGUGGCAGGCUUGGCGGCGGAGUUAGCUGGAUGGUGGUGGUUUUUUAGGUAGUGGUUAUUGUUGAGGACCCGGCAGCAAAGCCGCGAAGGCAAAAGAUUGUGGGUACUGUGGGAGCGUGAGGGUUAGAAAUGUUAUUAGGGUUUUGAUUUAAACGGAAGGGUAGGAGAACGAAGCGUCUAAAAC
rnacentral:lncRNA from 1 species